UGGGGAAUAUUGGACAAUGGGGGAAACCCUGAUCCAGCAAUGCCGCGUGAGUGAUGAAGGCCUUAGGGUUGUAAAGCUCUUUUACCCGGGAUGAUAAUGACAGUACCGGGAGAAUAAGCUCCGGCUAACUCCGUGCCAGCAGCCGCGGUAAUACGGAGGGAGCUAGCGUUGUUCGGAAUUACUGGGCGUAAAGCGCGCGUAGGCGGUCCAUCAAGUCAGAGGUGAAAGCCCGGGGCUCAACCCCGGAACUGCCUUUGAAACUGGCGGACUAGAAUCUUGGAGAGGUCAGUGGAAUUCCGAGUGUAGAGGUGAAAUUCGUAGAUAUUCGGAAGAACACCAGUGGCGAAGGCGACUGACUGGACAAGUAUUGACGCUGAGGUGCGAAAGCGUGGGGAGCAAAC
rnacentral:rRNA from 1 species